UAUGGAGUAUUUCCUAUGGGAAAGAGGGAAGUUCCGCCGUGAAUCUUAUUGGCGUUCCUUAGGUCCACCUUUUACCAAAAAAAAGUUGACGCAAAUUAUAUUGGAUCAAGAUGGGAAACUAGUGGUAAUUGUACCGGUUUUGAAAUGCCUUUCCAAAAGCAGAAGAAAUGUAUAAUAGAUAUUAGUUCAAACUCAAGUGUUUGUAAUGGCCGUAGCGAAAGAUUUGUCCCAUGUCAUGAUAAAACAAAGUCUGAGAUAACAUCGAAGUUGGCUAACAAUCAUAUGUGCAACGAACUUCUAAAUCAUUUCUUACAUGGGCUAAAGAUAUUCAGAUACUUUAAAAAUAAAGAUUCUUGCAAACUUCAAUGCAGACCGCAAUGUAAAUAUUUUGUGGGAAAGGGG